rnacentral:rRNA from 1 species
AUUGAACGCUGGCGGCAGGCUUAACACAUGCAAGUCGAACGAGUGGCGGACGGGUGAGUAAUGUCUGGGAACCUGCCCGAUGGCGGGGGAUAACUACUGGAAACGGUAGCUAAUACCGCAUACCAUCGGAUGUGCCCAGAUGGGAUUAGCUAGUUGGUGGGGUAAUGGCUCACCUAGGCGACGAUCCCUAGCUGGUCUGAGAGGAUGACCAGCCACACUGGAACGGAGACACGGGCCAGACGCCGACGGGAGGCAGCAGUGGGGAAUGUGGGACAAUGGGCGAAAGCCUGAUGCAGCCAUGCCGCGUGUAUGAAGAAGGCCUUCGGGUUGUAAAGUACUUUCGGCGAGGAGGCGUUACUCGCAGAAGAAGCACCGGCUAACUCCGUGCCAGCCGCCGCGGUAAUAC